GUGGAUUAGAUACCCUGGUAGUCCACGCCGUAAACGAUGGGCACUAGGUGUGGGAGGUGUCGACUCCUUCCGUGCCGUCGCUAACGCAUUAAGUGCCCCGCCUGGGGAGUACGGCCGCAAGGCUAAAACUCAAAGGAAUUGACGGGGGCCCGCACAAGCAGCGGAGCAUGUGGUUUAAUUCGACGCAACGCGAAGAACCUUACCUGGGCUUGACAUGUAGGUGACCGGUGUGGAAACACACCUUUCCUUCGGGACACCUUCACAGGUGGUGCAUGGUCGUCGACAGCU
rnacentral:rRNA from 1 species